rnacentral:lncRNA from 1 species
ACACCCCUCUCAGAUUCAAACAUCUGCAGUGAUCAUUAAUGGGUGAACCUAUUAGACGAGGUCAUCAUCUGAACCCACUAAUCAAGCCCUUUCCUGUGGGCUUGGAGCAGCGGGAGGGAUGGUGACCGGGAAGCUCCUUCCUCUGAACCAGGAGCAGUGGGAUGGCGGCUCAGAAGCCCCCACCUGUGGGCUGGGAGCUGUGGGACUCAGUACCUUGGUCUGGUGUUCUGGUGUCCUCUGUGUCUUUGUAGUGUGGAUCCAGGUGGCUGCCUGUCUGCAGCGGGGUGAUUCAGUGUCUUCCGCUUGACUGGGGACCUAGGUAGUUCGUGCACAGACCUGCCUGUCUGCAGGGCCCUGAUUUGGCGUCUUCCGCGCGACUCAGGACCUCAGUAGGGCGUGCACAGACCUGCCUGUCUGCAGUGGGCUGAUUCGGCGUGUUCUGUGUGAUUCAGGACCUCAGCAGGGCGUGCACAGACCUGCCUGUCUGCAGCGGGUUUAUUCGACGUCUUCCGCGCGACUGAGGACCUCGGUAGGGUGGUUCAGGUUUCUUACAAGAUUGAAUUUACAUGGGUAGACAGUGUACAUGAAGCGAUUUAUUAAGUCUGUCUCUUGUAGAACCUGUUAAAGAGAGUUACAAGGACCUUUGUAAGAAUAUGAAGCUAGCCUGGCAUGGUGGCUCUUAGUCCCAGGUGCUUGGGAGGUUGAGGUGAAGAGGUGGAGGUGAGUUUGAAACCAGCAAUCUCUAGUGACCCUGUAUCAGAGCAAUAACAGCAGUGAAGAUAAAAAAGAAGAAUCUCUACCAGUAUAGCAGGACCCUGCUUUCUCCGCUGUGAUUCAUGAGAAACUCCAGGUCCCCAACACCAUCCGAAAGGCCUGGAAUGACCGAGAUAACCGCUGUGACAUUUGUGCCACACACCUGAACCAGCUGAAGCAGGAAGCCAUCCAGAUGGUGCUGACGUUGGAGCAGGCAGCUGGCAGUGAGCACUACAGUGCCUCACCUGGAUCACCCCCUCCGCUGUCCAACAUGCCCACCCUGGUAGGGUCCCGGCACGUGAGUGGUGGGCUCCAGCAGCCCAGGGAUUGGGCCUUUGUGCCUGCCGCCUAUGCCACCUCCAACUACACAGGCCUUGUCAACAAGCACAGCAGCAAACCCAGCAGCCUUGGAGUCAGCAAUGGGGCAGAAAAAAAGAGUGGGUCCCCCACCCACCAGCCCAAGGUCAGCCUCCAGAUGGCCACCAGUCCCAGCAAUGGGAAUAUCCCCAAUGCUGUGGCCAUUCAGGCCCACCAAUACCUGGAUGGCACCUGGUCUCUUUCAAGAACCAAUGGAGUCACGCUGUAUCCCUACCAGAACAAAUCACCUCUGGAUUGGUGCCAAAGCCAUUCCCUGGGCAGAGAGGCAUCUAGGUGUGGGCACUACCGAGGGUGCUGCUCCUCGCCUCGGAACCUGAGCCCGUGGGGACGAGAGAAAAGAGGAAGUUUGCCUUUCUGAACUGAGAGGCUGUGAGGAUGAAAACAGGGAGCCUGGCA